AUCUGGGAUCGCUCAGCCGGGAAAGCAUGAGACGCUUAAAUCUCAGGGUCAUGGGUUGGAGCCCCAUGUUGGGUA